rnacentral:rRNA from 1 species
UUCCGGUUGAUCCUGCCGGACCUGACUGCUAUCGGAUUGAUACUAAGCCAUGCGAGUCAUUGUAGCAAUACAAGGCAGACGGCUCAGUAACGCGUAGUCAACCUACCCUAUGGACGGGAAUAACCUCGGGAAACUGAGAAUAAUGCCCGAUAGAACAUUAUGCCUGGAAUGGUUUAUGUUUCAAAUGAUUUAUCGCCGUAGGAUGGGACUGCGGCCUAUCAGUUUGUUGGUGAGGUAAUGGCCCACCAAGACUAUUACAGGUACGGGCUCUGAGAGGAGUAGCCCGGAGAUGGGUACUGAGACACGGACCCAGGCCCUAUGGGGCGCAGCAGGCGAGAAAACUUUGCAAUGUGCGAAAGCACGACAAGGUUAAUCCGAGUGGUUUGUGCUAAACGAACCUUUUGUCAGUCCUAGAAACACUAACGAAUAAGGGGUGGGCAAGUUCUGGUGUCAGCCGCCGCGGUAAUACCAGC